rnacentral:rRNA from 1 species
UACGGGGGGGGCAAGCGUUGUUCGGAAUUACUGGGCGUAAAGGGCUCGUAGGUGGCCAACUAAGUCAGACGUGAAAUCCCUCGGUUUAACCGGGGAACUGCAUCUGAUACUGGAUGGCUUGAGUUUGGGAGAGGGAUGCGGAAUUCCAGGUGUAGCGGUGAAAUGCGUAGAUAUCUGGAGGAACACCGGUGGCGAAGGCGGCAUCCUGGACCGACAUUGACGCUGAAAGCCGAAAGCUAGGGGAGCAAACGGG